rnacentral:rRNA from 1 species
UACAGAGGGUGCGAGCGUUGUCCGGAAUUAUUGGGCGUAAAGAGCUCGUAGGCGGUUUGUUGCGUCGGCUGUGAAAUCCCGAGGCUCAACCUCGGGUCUGCAGUCGAUACGAGCAAACUAAGAGUGUUGGCAGGGGAGACUGGGAAUUCCUGGGUGAUAGCGGUGAAAUGCGCAGAGUAUCAGGAGGAACACCGGUGGGCGAAGGCGGGUCUCUGGGCAACAACUGACGCUGAGGAGCGAAAGCGUGGGGAGCAACAGG